ensembl:lncRNA
CUUCUUCCAGCCAAUCACAGAGUCGUUCUUAGCAGUUGCUUAAGUGCGCAAGGAUACACACGUUCACCAAUGCAACGCAGAAUGGGCUCAUCCUUAUCAACAAAGGAUUUAUUUCUCGGACCAAAAUCAUACCAAGAAAAUGGAUCACAUAACCUUAAUCCAUUUCACUGCUCUUGAAAUUUCCAGAUUGCUGAUUCAACAUAUCUCUCCGUCUUUAAAGUUUGUUUACAUUUCGUUGGAAAAAAAUACAAGAGGAUCACAGAAAUGUAGCGGCCGAAGAAAGAGUUCAAAUAAAUCCAAGCCCCGGCCGUCAGCUACUUGGAGAGCGAGAUCUCCAUCUUGGGCUCGUGCGUAAUGGUUUCGAGAUAUCGUUUCAAGAAGUACCCCUUAUAUUUUAUUUAUAGGAUAUGCGGCGUUGCAAACAUCACAAACAUAUCAUAAUUAUUAGUAUUAGGCCUACCAUUAUCAGCCUAGUAGUAGGCUAGCCUAUGAUUAGUAGUAGGCCUAGUACAGUGGCCUAGUAUAUAAGUAGGCCUUGUAUUAAUAGUAUUAUUAUUAAAGGCUACUACUUUAACCACAUAUCAAAACGUACAGUAGACCUUUAAUAAUAAUUUUCGUCAUACUACUAAAUCCCUCUGACGGGUAACAAGGUUCACAUGGAGGGGGGGGGGGGGGGGGGUAGUUGCCUGAGGACACACAGUUAAUGUGUUGUGAAAAGUGUCAUGAAAUGUAAUGUUUUGUCAUAUCUUUAAUUGUAUAUAACUGCCUUAAUGUUGCUGGAGCCCAGGAAGAACUGCUGCCUAAUGGAGAUCUUUAAUAAAUACAAAUAUAGUCAUAACUCUACAAGAACAAAGGGUGCACCUUGGAGUCGAAUAAAGCAUCGUUUUCACCAAUCUUCCAUUGAUUUAAUCUGAAAUCUGAAAUUCAAACUCAAAUGUAUUACUUUAGUCAAGAUGCGUAAAAGUAUUGCGAGAACGAGUAGCCUAAAUUUUGGACAUGAUAUAUGGUUCUCACAGUGCUCAGCUCAGACCAGUUCCAGGUCAAACCAGCUUAGAGAGCUUGUCUAUUCGUGUAUUUGUAUUUGUAUAUUUAGGUAAACUCAUAUAGGACACACACACACACACACAUGAACGAAGGUGCACGUACGCCGAGACAAAUUCACCAAAAAGCGAGCGCAACAGAGCGAAAGAAGUGGUGGAAACUGAGAGCCUCGUGAAUUCCCACAAGGUGACUUUUGUUGGCUAGACUUACUGUUGAUGCACAUUCAUGUAAAUAUUAGUGGCAUUCGUUACAAAUGUCAAGCCAACAUCAUGUGUUUGAAGAAAACAUGUAAUAGAGAUUACACAAAGAUAUCCAACAAUAACGGAGUUGUCGGCCUAUAACAGUUGUAGUUGUCCUAUAAUAACACAAUUAAACAAAUCAUGUUCUUUUCGAUAUUUUGGUCCUGUCAUGAUGUUGGUAUGAUAUCCAGUAUGUUGUUUGGUGAUUAGUCAUUGAUGAUUUAAGAUAGUGCUAUGACGAUUGGCUACCUCGGAUUUUUCUUAAUACUUUUGCCUGCUAUUAUUAACAUCUAAUCAAAACAAUAAAGCCGAUAUAAUAGCAAUAACAACAACAAUAAUAAUAAUAUGUUGUGCUAUUAUAGUAACGCACUUCAUUUUAGUAACGCACAAGUUGUUUUUAGUAGGCCUAUAGUCCAAAUAUGUUCGAUAAGUUACAUUUCAACAAUACGUUUGGUAUAUCAUUGCCAAGUGCAAAUAGUUUAAAAAGUCGUGUAAUUUCAUUUCAGGUUUGCAAAAAUUAAGAAAGGUAAACUGU